CCUACGGGCGGCAGCAGUGAGGAAGAUUGGUCAAUGGACGAGAGUCUGAACCAGCCAAGUAGCGUGAAGGAUGACUGCCCUAUGGGUUGUAAACUUCUUUUAUAUGGGAAUAAAAUGGUCCACGUGUGGGAUGUUGUAUGGACCAUAUGAAUAAGGAUCGGCUAACUCCGUGCCAGCAGCCGCGGUAAUACGGAGGAUCCGAGCGUUAUCCGGGUUUAUUGGGUUUAAAGGGAGCGUAGGUGGAUUGGUAAGUAAGUUGUGGAAGUUUGCGGCUCAACCGGAAAAUUGCAGUUGAAACUGGCAGUCUUGCGUACAGUCGAGGUGGUCGGACUUC
rnacentral:rRNA from 1 species